rnacentral:rRNA from 1 species
GACGAACGCUGGCGGCGUGCUUAACACAUGCAAGUCGAACGGUGAAGCGCCUUCCUUUUUGGUGGGUGUGGAUGAGUGGCGAACGGGUGAGUAACACGUGAGUAACCUGCCCCCUUCUUCUGGAUAACCGCAUGAAAGUGUGGCUAAUACGGGAUAUUCUGGGUCUGUCGCAUGAUGGGUCUGGGAAAGAUAUUGUUUCGGUGGGGGAUGGGCUCGCGGCCUAUCAGCUUGUUGGUGGGGUGAUGGCCUACCAAGGCGGUGCCGGGUAGCCGGCCUGAGAGGGUGGACGGUCACAGUGGGACUGAGAGACGGCAGAGACGCCUACGGGAGGCAGCAGUGGGGAAUAGGGCAGAAUGGGAGGAAGCCUGAUGCAGCGGCGCCGCGGGAGGGAGGGUGGCCCUCGGGUUGAGACCCUUGUUAGCCAGUGAAGCAGGGUUGCCUCGUGUGUGCGUGAGUGGGCGGUAGCUGGAUAAGAAGCGCCGGCUAACUACGUG